rnacentral:snRNA from 1 species
CUACUUCUCUGACAAGGGAAAUACAUGGUCACAAAAAUGAUUGUCCCAGGUUUUAGUCUUAUUCAUUUCGCUCCAGAUGUGCUGAUCCCAGGAUAUUUCCCCCAGUGUUGGAAACACAACUACUUAAUUUAUGGUAGUAUGAUACUGCAUUUAUACUUUCUUCUG